rnacentral:rRNA from 1 species
CAUAGCGACUAUCGUGGCAUAUCAAUAAGCGGAGGAAAAGAAACUAACAAGGAUUCCCCUAGUAACGGCGAGUGAAGCGGGAAGAGCUCAAAUUUGAAAUCUUCAAGGUUUUACCUUGACGAAUUGUAGUUUAAAGAAGUGUUUUCGGUUAGAGGAGUAGCAAAAGUUCUUUGGAAUAGGACAUCAUAGAGGGUGAGAAUCCCGUAUUUGACUAUUCCUUCUAGCUUUGUGAUACACUUUCAAAGAGUCGGAUUGUUUGGGAAUGCAGUCCAAAAUGGGUGGUAAAUUUCAUCUAAAGCUAAAUAUUGGCGAGAGACCGAUAGCGAACAAGUACCGUGAGGGAAAGAUGAAAAGAACUUUGAAAAGAGAGUUAAACAGUACGUGAAAUUGUCAAAAGGGAAGCGUUUGACACCAGUGUUGUUUUUCCGAAAAUCAAUUAAAAAUUGAUUCAUGCCAGGUUGUAUUGACCUUAUCAGCUUGCAAUUUGGUUUUGGGUCUCUUUUUGAUGCACUUUUCGGUUAACAAGUCAACAUCAAUUUCCUUUGCUGUAAAAAGGUAAGAGGAAGGUGGCUUCAAUUUCGGUUGAAGUGUUUAUAGCCUUUUAUCUCUGCAGUCGGGGAGAUUGAGGUCUGCAGCGUAGAUCCUUCGGGGCUAGAUACAUUUAUGCUAAGUUAUAGCUUUUCAUAGACAACUUGUUGACUAUGUUUAGUCAUGUAGCUUACUCGUAAGUGCUAUUUUACCUACGCUUAGGAUGUUGACGAGACUGUCGAUCUC